rnacentral:rRNA from 1 species
UACGUAGGGUGCGAGCGUUAAUCGGAAUUACUGGGCGUAAAGCGUUCGCAGGCGGCUUGCCAAGUCAGAUGUGAAAGCCCCGGGCUCAACCCGGGAAUGGCGUUUGAAACUGGCAGGCUAGAGUUUGGCAGAGGGGGGUGGAAUUCCACGUGUAGCAGUGAAAUGCGUAGAGAUGUGGAGGAACACCGAUGGCGAAGGCAGCCCCCUGGGCCAAAACUGACGCUCAGGCACGAAAGCGUGGGGAGCAAACAGG